rnacentral:rRNA from 1 species
AACGAACGCUGGCGGCAGGCUUAACACAUGCAAGUCGAACGGGCGCGAGCAAUCGCGUCAGUGGCAGACGGGUGAGUAACACGUGGGAACCUUCCUAGGGGUACGGAACAACUCAGGGAAACUUGAGCUAAUACCGUAUACGUCCGUAAGGAGAAAGAUUCAUCGCCCCUAGACGGGCCCGCGUCGGAUUAGCUAGUUGGUGGGGUAACGGGCCUACCAAGGCGACGAUCCGUAGCUGAUCUGAGAGGAUGAUCAGCCACACUGGGACUGAGACACGGCCCAGACUCCUACGGGAGGCAGCAGUGGGGAAGUCUUGGACAAUGGGCGCAAGCCUGAUCCAGCGAUGCCGCGUGUGUGAAGAAGGCCUGCGGGUUGUAAAGCACUUUCAGUAAGGGAAGGAAAAGACCGAGUGCUAAUAUCACUCGGUCUUGUACGUUAC